rnacentral:rRNA from 1 species
GUGGGCCAUUCCAUCCAGCGAGUAAAGCUUUACCCGUGACAUUAUCCAAGUGUGGGAACCGCCACAGCGAUCGUUGGGUGAUAUCCGCAGCCAGGACUGCUUCUGUUUUGGUGCAACGACUAAGUCGUAAUGGCCGGCCCUGCCGGUAAAGAGAUAGUCUCAAUCUCGUGGGGAGACCCAUGACAGCUUUUGCAUUAAAUCAGUUAUCGUUUAUUUGAUAAUACCUUACCACUUGGAUAACUGUGGUAAUUCUAGAGCUAAUACAUGCUAAAAACCCCGACUUCGGAAGGGGUGUAUUUAUUAGAUAAAAAACCAAUGCCCUUCGGGGCUCCUUGGUGAUUCAUAAUAACUUAACGAAUCGCAUGGCCUUGCGCCGGCGAUGGUUCAUUCAAAUUUCUGCCCUAUCAACUUUCGAUGGUAGGAUAGUGGCCUACCAUGGUCUUAACGGGUAACGGGGAAUUAGGGUUCGAUUCCGGAGAGGGAGCCUGAGAAACGGCUACCACAUCCAAGGAAGGCAGCAGGCGCGCAAAUUACCCAAUCCCAAUCCGGGGAGGUAGUGACAAUAAAUACUGAUACAGGGCUCUUUCGGGUCUUGUAAUUGAAAUGAGAAAAAUCUAAAUCCCUUAACGAGGAACAAUUGGAGGGCAAGUCUGGUGCCAGCAGCCGCGGUAAUUCCAGCUCCAAUAGCGUAUAUUAAAGUUGUUGCAGUUAANAAGCUCGUAGUUGAACCUUGGGUCUGGCU